AGAAAAAAAAGUCCCUUUUAUCAAAUCAGUUUGGGAGGUUACCAGCGUCACCCUCUCUAAAAGCAUACUGGCGUCGCCUCUCUCAGAUUUCGAUUGGCUUAGCAAUGAAUCUUUGAACGAAUUUAUGAACGAGGCUCCUUGAUUUUAUUCCUUGACAAAAUGGAACAUGAACGAAUAUGGACAAUUAUAAAAGAAAAAAUUUAUGAGGUUAGAUAUCAAAGAAGCAUGGACAGAUGGCGUCAAACACAACCUACUUCUGAGGAUAGUUCCACAACCCAACUAACAUAUGAUGAUAUUACUUAAAUAUGGAAAAAUGUAGCAAGAGGUGGUGAAGAAAGGCAGAGUUUACGGGCUUGGAGUACAACCUUUCUCAUGUCAUCCAUCACCGUUGAUGUCAGAAGUUCAUGGAGAAACAUAUGGUUGCAUAUGAUGAUGGCGAAGAAGAGACCGAUUCUAGUGAAGAGUAGAUUAUGUUCUUGUUGUUUAGACAUUUUUCUAUGACAUUUAGACUUGUUUAACUAGUUACUUCCAUUUUGAGUAACAACUUAAUAUUUAUGAGACUUGAUUUUGAUAAUGUUUCAAAAUUUAGACUUCAUUGUGAAUCUGUGAAUCAAGUGGAAUUU